CCAACGACACAACUCACAGUAACGUUACCAGCCACGACACCUAUGAGGCUAUGACCCAACGUCCCAACCAAGAACCAACUACUCUGCCAGCCUACGCAGUAACGCAGCAGCAAUCCCAACCCAAGCCUUCGCUGGCGCGCGGGUCCACCCCGACUCACGCCUCCCGUUCCCAUACCACCAGGUCCGUCUCCGGCUUUCCGUCGGCCCUCCGCCCUCCGCCCCAAAACUUCGUGGUAAAACCUCCGCGAUUUCCCUUCCCCACCCACCGCGGCAGUUGCCUCCCCUCCUACAAAUAACCCCCGACCAUCCACGAGGACGUACCUUCUGCAGCAAGUAGUGACCAGGAGCGAGCAGCCAAGGAAAGGAGCCAAGCAAUGGAGAAGGCCGUCGACAGGCAGCGGGUCCUGCUGCGGCACCUCAACCCCGCCGCGGCGGGGAGCCCCGCCCCGCCCGCCAUCUCCGCAAGCGCGUGCGCGGCGGGGGACAGCGCGGCGUACCACCGGAGGCCGGCCUUCGCCGACGACGUCGUCAUCGUCGCUGCUUACAGGACGGCAAUUUGCAAGGCCAAGAGAGGGGGUUUCAAGGAUACCUUUGCUGAGGACCUCUUGGUUCCUGUCUUCAAGGCUUUGGUAGACAAGACGAAGCUGGACCCAAGUGAAGUUGGCGACAUUGUUGUUGGUACUGUCUUAGCUCCUGGUUCCCAGAGGGCAAUCGAAUGCAGAAUGGCUGCACUGUAUGCUGGUUUCCCUGACACCGUUCCUCUUAAGACUGUAAACAGGCAGUGCUCUUCUGGCCUUCAGGCAGUUGCAGAUGUUGCCACUGCUAUUAAAGCAGGGCUCUAUGACAUUGGUAUUGCUGCUGGUUUGGAGUCCAUGACAGUGAACAAAGUUAGUCUUGAUGGCCAAGCGAAUCCCAAAGUUGAGCUAUUUUCUCAAGCACGUGAUUGUCUUCUCCCAAUGGGCCUCACAUCUGAGAAUGUUGCACACCGUUUUGGCAUAACACGACUGGAGCAAGAUCAAGCUGCUGUUGAGUCACAUAGAAAGGCUGCUGCCGCAGCAGCUGCUGGUAAAUUCAAAGAGGAAAUUGUGCCAGUUCAUACAAAGAUUGUUGAUCCAAAAACUGGUGAGGAAAAGAAGAUCGUAAUCUCUGCAGAUGAUGGAAUCCGAGUGGAUACUUCUCUUGCAGUCCUGUCAAAACUCAAACCAGCAUUUUCAAAGGAUGGCAGCACUACUGCUGGGAAUGCAAGCCAAGUGAGCGAUGGCGCUGGGGCCGUCUUGCUAAUGAGACGGGAUGUUGCUAUGAAAAAGGGUCUUCCAGUUCUUGGUGUCUUUAGGACCUUUGCCGCUGUUGGAGUUGAUCCAGCUGUAAUGGGUAUUGGUCCUGCCGUAGCAAUCCCCGCAGCAGUGAAAGCUGCUGGCCUUCAGAUGGAUGAUAUCGAUCUUUUCGAAAUCAAUGAGGCUUUUGCAUCUCAGUAUGUCUACUGCUGCAAGAAGUUGAAACUUGAUCCUGCUAAAGUCAAUGUUAAUGGCGGUGCAAUGGCCCUUGGACAUCCGUUGGGUGCUACAGUUUUACCAGAGAAGCUAGAGCCGAAGUUAUUUUUAAAGAAGCCAAAGCCCUACCAAUCGGGAAUAUUUUGAGUGAUGAUGACAAUAGCAUUGGUGUCUACUUGGCCAGGUGCACGGUGCGUCAGUACUCUUCUCAAUGAGAUGAAGCGCCGCGGCAAGGAUUGCCGGUUCGGAGUGAUUUCUAUGUGCAUAGGUUCUGGGAUGGGUGCUGCUGCUGUGUUCGAGCGGGGAGACGGCGUUGAUGAGCUCACCAAUGCUCGGGGAAUCUCGACCCACAACUGGCUUUCCAAGGACGCCAUGUAAAGCUACACCCACCAAAAUUUGCCGGAACUGGUAGCAUUGUUUCCAGAUCGCUGUAGGGAGCGAAUUGGGGAAUAAAAUGAUUUUGUAUUUGUCGCCCCUGCUGGGGAUUUAGGAAGAUUUUUACGCCA